GUGAAGAACGUAGCGAACUGCGAUAAGUAAUGUGAAUUGCAGAAUUCAGUGAAUCAUCGAGUCUUUGAACGCACAUUGCGCCCCCUGGCAUUCCGGGGGGCAUGCCUGUCCGAGCGUCAUUGCUGCCCUUCAAGCCCGGCUUGUGUGUUGGGUCGUCGUCCCCCCCGGGGGACGGGCCCGAAAGGCAGCGGCGGCACCGCGUCCGGUCCUCGAGCGUAUGGGGCUUUGUCACCCGCUCGAUUAGGGCCGGCCGGGCGCCAGCCGGCGUCUCCAACCUUCUAUUUUACCAGGUUGACCUCGGAUCAGGUAGGGAUACCCGCUGAACUUAAGCAUAUCAAUAAGCGGAGGA
rnacentral:misc_RNA from 1 species